rnacentral:lncRNA from 1 species
CGCCGCUGUGGAGCACGUGCUUUAAAGCCCGGUCCUCUGCUCAUGGGGUCUCUCCUCCCCUCCGCUCUCCCCCCACGCAGGAGGCAGCCACGUGAGCGGCUUCGCGGCCUCCCCUGCCAGCCAGCCGGUGAUGGGCGUUCCCGACAUGGGGGGCACCUUCCGAGUCGGAGGCGUCCCGAGCAGCGUCUUUGGGGCCCUCAGCCAGUCGCCCGUGCUGCCCCCACCCAGCCCGGCCCCAGCGUAUGGGGCCUGCAGCAACCCCUUCGCCGCCGCCUCCCAGCCGGCGCUGCCUUCCACUAACCCUUUCCAGACCAACGGCUUGGCCCCAGGCGCCUUCAUGGUCGGCUCCCCCAGCAGCUUCUCCGGCAUCUUCGCUUCGCCAAUGCAGCCGCAGCCGCCCCUCUUCCCUCCCCAGGUGGUGCUGGGACAACAGCAGAACGGCGGUAACGGUGUUCGCCUUUGGGGGGCGCCGGUGGGGCUGUUCCACACGCCUUCGG